rnacentral:rRNA from 1 species
GACGAACGCUGGCGGCGUGCUUAACACAUGCAAGUCGUACGGUAAGGCCCUUUCGGGGGUACACGAGUGGCGAACGGGUGAGUAACACGUGAGUAACCUGCCCUCAACUUUGGGAUAACGCUAGGAAACUGGUGCUAAUACUGGAUAUGUGCUCCUGCUGCAUGGUGGGGGUUGGAAAGCUCCGGCGGUUGUGGAUGGACUCGCGGCCUAUCAGCUUGUUGGUGGGGUAGUGGCCUACCAAGGCGGCGACGGGUAGCCGGCCUGAGAGGGUGACCGGCCACAUUGGGACUGAGAUACGGCCCAGACUCCUACGGGAGGCAGCAGUGGGGAAGAUUGCACAAUGGGCGCAAGCCUGAUGCAGCAACGCCGCGUGCGGGAUGACGGCCUUCGGGUUGUAAACCGCUUUCAGCAGGGACGAAGCUUUUUGUGACGGUACCUGCAGAAGAAGCACCGGCUAACUACGUG